rnacentral:rRNA from 1 species
AGAGUUUGAUCCUGGCUCAGAAUCAACGCUGGCGGCGUGCCUAACACAUGCAAGUCGAACGAGAAAGUGGAGCAAUCCAUGAGUACAGUGGCGUACGGGUGAGUAACACGUGACUAACCUACCCUCGAGUGGGGAAUAACCUCGGGAAACCGGGGCUAAUACCGCAUAACAUCUUCGGAUCAAAAUGCGUAAGCAGCUUGAGGAGGGGGUCGCGGCCGAUUAGCUAGUUGGCGGGGUAAUGGCCCACCAAGGCAAUGAUCGGUAGCCGGCCUGAGAGGGCGCACGGCCACACUGGAACUGAAACACGGUCCAGACUCCUACGGGAGGCAGCAGUGGGGAAUUUUGCGCAAUGGGGGAAACCCUGACGCAGCAACGCCGCGUGGGGGAUGAAGCCCUUUGGGGCGUAAACUCCUUUCGAUCGGGACGAUUAUGACGGUACCGGAAGAAGAAGCACCGGCUAACUCUGUGCCAGCAGCCGCGGUAAUACAGAGGGUGCAAGCGUUGUUCGGAAUUAUUGGGCGUAAAGGGUGCGUAGGCGGUGCGGUAAGUCUGCUGUGAAAUCUCCGGGCUCAACCCGGAGCCUGCAACGGAAACUGCCGUGCUCGAGUAUGGGAGAGGUGAGUGGAAUUCCCGG